UUAUAUAUAACACUUUUUAAUCUUGUCCAUUUUUUGAGCUGUAAAGCUUUUAUUUUUUUUUUAUAGAUUUUACUAUUAUAUUCUUAGUAAUUCACAUUCAAUGAAAUCGUUUGCAAUUAUUUUAUUAAGCACAUUUUUUUUUAUAUAUGUAAGACGCACGUUUCUUUUACUUGUAUGUAUAUUUAUUUAUUAAACAUCAACGCAAGAUAUCUCACCGACCACCUUUCGCGCUGUUGCCUAGUUGCUAUAGAUAGAUUCUGUUGAUGUUGAACAACACUAAUACAAACACAUGAUCAAGUUGAGCUACCAUAUAUAUUCUACAAGCAACAAAACGAACAGAUUUAUCCCACCCGUCAACCGAAAGCCACACAAGCAAAUAAAUUUAAAGAAAACAAUAAAUAAAGCUAUUUCGUUGGCAAGAAAUUUCAGCAAGACAGCUUUAACACUGAGAGACUAGUUUGAAAAGAAACGGACAGACGUAUUUCGAUUAAGAUGGUGAUGCUGAUGAAAACAGAUUCUUAUAUACCAUAUGGAAGAAGUAUUCAGGAAAUACAUGAAAGGCAUGACAGUCAGUGGUGAAUGACACCAAUUGUUAUAUUAUUUUAAAUGCACUUACCAGUGGAUGGAGCAGCGGUAGAAUCAGAUACAACUUUGGGAGACACUAUGGGUAUUCUGAAACAAUCAAACUAUAUGAUGUAACCACAGUUGUCGUGAUAAUGUGAGACCAGGACCAGUAUGUUCAAA